GGUUGAUCCUGCCAGUAGCAUAUGCUUGUCUCAAAGAUUAAGCCAUGCAUGUCUAAGUAUAAACAACUUUAUACUGUGAAACUGCGUACAGCUCAUUAAAUCAGUUAUUAUUUAUUUGAUGGUAUUUAACUACAUGGAUAACCGUAGUAAUUCUAGAGCUAAUACAUGCGAAAAGUCCCAACGCAAGGCGGGAUGUAUUUAUUAGAUAUAAAACCAUCGGGGGGCAACUCUCUUUUUUGUGAAUCAUAGUAACUGUUCGAAUCGCACGGCGAAAGCAGGCGAUAGUUCAUUC
rnacentral:rRNA from 1 species